rnacentral:lncRNA from 13 species
GCCUGGAUAGGAAAGCCACGAGGAAUGGACUCCCACUGGAAAAUGCAGCCAUGGCUAAGUGUUCAUCUUUGGCUUGGCUUCCCAGACCUCCCCAAACCUUGAUGUUCCUCAGAAAAGUCUUCAGCAUGCCACAGAACACACGGAAUCAAUGUGUGUGUGAUGCACCGCGAUAUUUCACCACACGGGGGAAGAGAGGGACCUGUGUGCUGCAGUGCAACCCCUCUCCUGGCUACCAGCCACAUGACUUCUGACCCAUUGAGGCUCUCUCUGGACAAACUCUCCGUCUGCCAAGCUCAGCGCCCCUGGGUUCUUCCAGGAGAAAUUUGGACACAGAGACAGACAGUUGUAGAGGGAAAGCAAUAUGAAGCAGCAGGGAGGAGACGGCCAUCUGCAAGCCAAGGAGAGAGGCUUCAGGAAACCCGCCCUGGCAACAUCUUGAUCUUGGACUUCCAGCCUCCACAACUGUGAAACACAAAUUUCUAUGUGUAAGCCACCCAGCUUGGUGCUUUGUUAUGCAGCCCUAGCACACUGAUGCAGAGAGAGGGUGACAGGGAAGCAGACAGUCAGAGAUAUAGUAAGAUAUAGUAAGUAAUAAUUGGAACUAAAAGGUAGUCUCCCUCCUCCGUCACUUCUCAGGGAAUAUGUAGGCAGAGUUGAAUCAAAUCAGCAGGAUUCAAAUAGUCUUCUUUAUCUUGGAUACAAUCUGUAGGAGCCUCUUUUCUAGCCUCUCAGAAAUAACCUUUUCUGUGUCCCCAAACAUGAGAGUUAAAACUGGCAGUGCUGUGCUGAGGGUGGGUUGGGAAGAACUGAACCCGAGUGGGGAGGCCUGACCCUGACGGGCAUGGUGCCGUGAUCUCCAGCCAGACAGGGCUGAGGAAGUCUGCUGUGAGGACAGAGAGCACGUGUCAGGUUCUGUGGGACAGGACCUGCUCAGGGGAGCAAAUUCCAGGGGUGUGGAAGGUUCUGACAUGAUUCAACAGUACAAGGAAUUGCCUUGUCUGUGAGAAACCAGAGCAGCCCAGUUCUGGCGUUUAAACUCCCUUCCAGUGAGACAGCAGGGAGGCGCCACGUCACGAUGACCAUGCAAGAGACGGAUGAUGCACACAGAUGCAGCAAUGUCAGGGCCUGUUGUGGAUCGUUUCAUGUAAUCCUUGUCAAUGAUCCCUCAAGAUAAGAUGUUUUCAUGUUAAGUUAAAAUUGGAUCAGGUGACCAAGCAAUUGCUCAAGUUAUCUCAGUUACUAUGCAGUGGAGAGGUGAUCAGAAGGCAGGUCCCUCUGAUUCUCACACUUGUAAUUAGCAUGUGUGCAGGACAGUGCGGGGCCCAGUCCUGGGUGGGGUGGGAAACAGCAGGGACCAUGACCGAGAGAAAGAGGACUUGGCAGCUGGGAUCUGCACCUGAUGCCAGGAAGAGACAGUGAACGCUCUCUCUGCAAUAGGUAUCACCAUAAUAAUUCAAAGGGAAUGCAU